rnacentral:tRNA from 1 species
GCCGGGAUCGCAUAACCUGGUAGUGCGCACGCCUGGAAAGCGUGUUCCCGCAAGGGUUUGUGGGUUCAAAUCCCACUUCCGGCG